AGGGGCAUGUAAUAGUGGCAGGGCCUGGGUGGGACAGAUGUGCUGGGGUGUCCUGGUGCUUCUUCUGAGGGGUUCUGGUGGGGUGUUGGUGGGCUUGGCCCUUUGUGUGUUCCCUGUGUACAGCCACGAGUGCUGGUUUGCCCCAAAACUUCUAGCUCUAAGCAGGAAUGGCAAAACUAGCUUCCUCCCAGGGAAGUAAUGGUUCUGGUCUGGGUCCUGCCAUGGCCCCUGCCUUCCCUCAGAUGCUGGAGUCACCACCAUGAGGUAAAAGGAUGACAGCCAGGAAAUUAUUACAGCGCAAUUUAAAGACCAUAAAAUAUAAGAUGAGCAGAUGGCAGGUCGCGUCUCCUCUCCGUGAACGGCCGAUGUCACCGUGGCACCACUUCAGCGCAUGCUGAGCUGCACUCGCAAAGUCCAAACAAGAGCCGUCACCGGUGGAGGUGUCUGUCAGAGACUGUCCCAGCAGCACAGACCUUACGACUGUGACAAAGAAUCUGGGCAUUGGCAAGGAGCUUUAGCGACAAUGAGCUUUAAAUACCUGCUGCUAAGAUAAUCAUAAUAAUCUGUCUGCCAGCUUUUUCCUAAUGUGCAUUUUCUAAUUCAUUGUGGGAGGCAAAAUCCUUUGACCGGUGGAAUGAAGACGUGGCGCUGUGACUGUAAUUUAAAUUGUUAAACAACUGGAAGGAGCAGCUAUCAACCAGAAAUCCUACCCAAAGCAGAAUAGCAGCCUUCACAGAUUAAUUUAAAAAAAACAACAACAACUAGAAUUUAGUCUUUUCAUAGAAAGGGAUCCUUGGUUCUUUGCAAGGGAUCCUCAGUUCUGUGCAAGGGAUUAAAAAAGCACCCAUCCCAGUUUCAGGAUUUUUUGGUUCUGUUCCCCUUCUGAUAUUUCCGAGUCUACCCUUGGAGUAUGGGUUCUUACACUUCUUCUCUCCAUUCCCUCUCCAUGCAGUGCUGUAGUUUGAGGGGACAGGAUGCUGAAAUAGCCAGUAUGAUCACUCCAAUGUCCCGAACAGGACGUUCUCAAGCAAGUUAUUGCUCUUCCAUUGAAAUGGGAAAAGCAAACAAAGCUCUGUCAUGUGUUGGGCCUUGCUGCAGCAGUUGAGCUGAUCCCCUUGUCCUUUCAGCAUUAAUUACGAAAAGGCUCUGCUCCUACGUGUGGCACUUUGAAGAAGGCUGGAUGUUUCCUAUUCAUCAACAACACAGCUGAGUAUACUUGAUGCAUAGGGACACACCACUGUGUAGAAACUGUGACAGUUUUUUUUUACUACUGGUAGGACUGAAACUGAAGAGGGAUCUGGGAUAUGAUAUCCAGCUAAUGAUAUGAUAGGAAUGUAUCUCCUAAAAAAAUAAAAAAAAUAAAAGGGAAGUGCCACGUCUAAAGGAGCCACUCAGCUCUAACAGCACGGCCAGCAGGUUUCCAGCUCAUGUACAGCUCCCCUGGUACUGGGACGUCUCUCUCUUCUCAUGGAGCUGCAGGACUGGUGUGUCAGUGAUUCAUCUGGGAGAUGGCAGCCCUGCAGCAGAGCCAGACUGAAGGGGAGAUGGAGGACAGAAGGUGGAAGAACAUGCCCGUAUCUAUGCUGGAUCUGGUCCUCAAUCAGGCAGUCAUGUCUCGUUUUUGGAGAGAGUUCAGUGUGAUCAGAGGAAGGCUGUCUGCAUCACCUGCCUGCAUAAUCCAUCUCUAGCUGGUCAAAGAGAGAAGGUAGUUUGCUGACAAAUGCCAACACUUUUUUAGAGCACAUUAUAAGGUAAAACCUAAAAUAAAUUUGCUAUUGUUUUCAUCUACCCUGGGGCAUAGCUCUAUGCCUGGAAUAUGUAUCAAGAACAAUUCCUCUGUUUACAGUUUAAAAAUGAGCUAUAGAGUACUUACUGCAACUGCCAGUUUCCUGGGAAAAAGGUUUGCAACGACCAUCUAUUAUCUCACUGCAAAAAAAUAGUAAACUCUUAACCACAUAUGAAAUUAAGCAAUUCUUUUCUGGCAAUUGGAGUUUGGUUUUGGUGAUAAUAAGUGUUGGUUUGUGAUUUAAUAGGUCAUUACCUACUUUGCCUAUAAUCACAGAGUAAUAAAUAACUGUUGGCAAGAUGGAUAAUAGCUAGGUCUGAGAGGCAUGAAAAAGAUAAAGCAAUAGGCACAAACGCGCACUCUAUAUUCAUAGGAAAUGGAUCCUAGCCAAGAAAUGCAAUAUAAACUGAUGUGAGAGAAGAUUUUUAUUAGAUGUAUCUAAUUUGGGGGAUGGCUAAAUAUCUACAUUCACAAUAUCUAGUUGCCCAUCUUGUUUGUAAGACACGCUUUGGACAUGUUACAUGGAAGAAUCCCUUUGUGAAGAGUUAAUUCUGUGUCUUAUGGAGCCAGACUACCUUCUGAAUGACCACACUAGCUUUUUGGGCCUAAUUAAUCAAAAAUCAUCGAUGCCUUAUUGUUUUCAUGCUGCCCAAUUAAAAAUCUCUGCAGUUGCUGGCAGCUUUACUGACUUCUGGGGCACAAGGUGAACCCUCGAAUCCCUUUGGGCCUGAUAUCUGCAAGUCCCAGCUGUAUUGUGAACACUGGCAGUCACAGGUUUCAGGAGCUGAGAGCCUUCAGAUGGUGUAAUUCCUCAUCCCUUCCCUUCUUGUGAUAUCUUACUUGGUUCUUGUCAAACAAAUAAUGGCCUGUUGUAUCCUUUUAUAUUUUCCCAGCCAUUCUUGUUUUCCUCUGUGCAAUGUCAUAUUCUGUGCAGUAGUCAUAUUAUUGCAGCACAUCAUAUUGCAUCAUAUUUGUCACAGAUUUAUCAUAUUGUUUUUGAUUAUGCCUAGAUGUGCUGUGCAGAGCUCAGGGCUUGCUUUGUGGUGUGCAAGAAAGGGCGUACAAAAACAAAAUCCAAAGACAGCAGCAAAAUUCCCCCAGGUUGGGCAGGGAGGAUGGCAGGGCUGUGGUGCUCAUCACCAACUCUUGAGCUCACCAUUUGUUUCUCCUCUGCCUCCACGCCUUUGACAUGGUGCAGUUUUGAAAAUGUGAGAAUACAGCUGUGAGGUUCUGACCUUACAUCGAGGUUGGGCAGAGGCAGCCAGUGGCUGUUGCAAACUGUUGGCUGAAUCAUGAGGACUGGCUGGAGGUAUCUGUCCUCCUUCUCAGGAAGGUUCACAGAGAAAAUGUCUUUGCUUAUUUUAGGGAGGUGACGAGAUGAGGGGAGGAGUGAGAUGGCUGCAGAAAGUGCCAGUAGAUGUUUGUUCCCUCUGAAAUAUGAAGAAACAGAGAGCUCCUCCCUGCUUCUCAGUAGUCUCCCCCAUUUUGGAUGCAUUAGCUUUAAGAACUAAAUGUGCUUGGGGGAAAGAGAUUAAAAUUGCGAAGUGUUUUCCUUUCCUAUGAGCAGAACUGACAGAAAGAUGACAAAAUGCUUGUGGGAAUGAUUAAAGAG